rnacentral:rRNA from 1 species
CGGCGAGUGAAGCGGCAACAGCUCAAAUUUGAAAUCUGGAGUCUUUGUUGGCUUCCGAGUUGUAAUUUGCAGAGGGAGCCUCGGAGGGCUGGUCGGUCCAAGUGCCUUGGAACAGGAUACCGCAGAGGGUGAGAGUCCCGUAUCCGGCCGACGCAGUGCUCCGUGUGAGGCCUCUUCGACGAGUCGAGUUGUUUGGGAAUGCAGCUCUAAGUGGGUGGUAAAUUCCAUCUAAAGCUAAAUACUGGCCAGAGACCGAUAGCGAACAAGUAGAGUGAUCGAAAGAUGAAAAGCACUUUGAAAAGAGAGUUAAACAGUACGUGAAAUUGUUGAAAGGGAAGCGCAUGGGGGCAGACUUGGACGCGGGGUUCAGGGUCUCCUUUGUGGAGGCGUGUACUUCCCCGCGGACAGGCCAGCAUCGGUUCUGGGGGCCGGACAAAGGCGACGGGAACGUGGCUCUCUUCGGGGAGUGUUAUAGCCCGACGUGCAAUGCGGCC